GUUAGCCUGUGUAAACACCAGUCGUAUUCGCGCCCAUUUCUCGCAAAACGUUCCCGCCAAAUUUGAUGACUAACGGUUCUCUUGACACCAGGUCUUACUCGACCAUAUAGGCGGCCAUUUUGGAAAACACAAACGAGUGGCGUCACACAGAUGUCAUAACUACGAGGAAAACACUACAAUGCGAUUAAUACAAAACAAAAUCAAAAGAGAAAGUCUAAGCAAGGAAACACGAAAUUAAAAAGAUUGAAUCUUUCAAAGAUGCGACGCAGUUAGAGAGAUUAUACUAGGUAAAAUGGCUGGUCGAUACACAAGUACAUAACGUGCGAGAGAAAUCAUAGGAACGGAAAUGGAAAAUGCCUAGCGAAGAUGAAUUCCACUAAACAAAGUUUGAGGCAAUAGGCGACUUGCAUCACGUGACUUCUGGAAAACUCG